rnacentral:misc_RNA from 1 species
AUGAAUAUUAGGGUGCUACUCUUCAUCAGAGUUAGGCCCGACCUUCAUUCUUCUACACUGUGCACUUUUUAAUUGGGUGAAGCUUAACGGCUGAUCCCUACUCUUUAAACUCUACAAGUUAAAGAAUGUAAUAAAUCAAUAACAAAGA